rnacentral:rRNA from 1 species
UACGUAGGGCGCAAGCGUUAUCCGGAAUUAUUGGGCGUAAAGCGCGCGCAGGCGGCCUCGCGCGCCCGACGUGAAAGCCCCCGGCUUAACCGGGGAGGGUCGUUGGGGACGGCGGGGCUUGAGGGCGGGAGAGGUCGGUGGAAUUCCCGGUGUAGUGGUGAAAUGCGUAGAGAUCGGGAGGAACACCUGUGGCGAAGGCGGCCGACUGGGCCGACCCUGACGCUGAGGCGCGAAGGCGUGGGGAGCGAACGGG